GCUCAAUUGCCCCCAUGGUCCCGUUCAAUCCCCUCUCUAUUGUGCAUGGUUUUUAAUUAAGAUAUUUUGCUUGCAACCGUGCUCCAUGUUUGUUAAUUUCUGGGUCAGGUAUUUAGAUCUGAGACACAACAAAUGGAGUUCGGUAAUUGCUUGCUUAUGGAUGGCAUUGUACGAUGUCAAAGAGCUGUGUGAGGACAAGACUUCCUUGCAAGAUGAGCUUGGAUAAAAAAAACGGACAUUCCCGAUGGUGUUUUCUUUGAGUGUCGAGUGUGAAGUUCAUUGUUUGUGUUGCAUGAUGAGUUACUUGUUUACGGCCUAUUCCAUAAGAUUUUUGUCUUAUGUUAAAUGUGAUGCAAGCGCGCAUGAUACAUGCUCAUGUUAUGAUGGGUUCUCAAGCUUGUGUUUGUGUCAACAAAACAGGCAACAUCUAUCGCUUCUUG